rnacentral:rRNA from 1 species
UUAAGCGACUAAGCGUACACGGUGGAUGCCCUGGCAGUCAGAGGCGAUGAAGGACGUGCUAAUCUGCGAAAAGCGUCGGUAAGGUGAUAUGAACCGUUAUAACCGGCGAUGUCCGAAUGGGGAAACCCAGUGCAAUUCGUUGCACUAUCGUUAACUGAAUACAUAGGUUAACGAGGCGAACCGGGGGAACUGAAACAUCUAAGUACCCCGAGGAAAAGAAAUCAACCGAGAUUCCCCCAGUAGCGGCGAGCGAACGGGGAGCAGCCCAGAGUCUGAAUCAGCUUGUGUGUUAGUGGAACGGUCUGGAAAGUCCGACGGUACAGGGUGAUAGUCCCGUACACCAAAAUGCACAGGUUGUGAACUCGAAGAGUAGGGCGGGACACGUGGUAUCCUGUCUGAAUAUGGGGGGACCAUCCUCCAAGGCUAAAUACUCCUGACUGACCGAUAGUGAACCAGUACCGUGAGGGAAAGGCGAAAAGAACCCCGGCGAGGGGAGUGAAAAAGAACCUGAAACCGUGUACGUACAAGCAGUGGGAGCACCUUCGGGUGUGACUGCGUACCUUUUGUAUAAUGGGUCAGCGACUUAUAUUCUGUAGCAAGGUUAACCGUAUAGGGGAGCCGCAGGGAAACCGAGUCUUAACUGGGCGUUAAGUUGCAGGGUAUAGACCCGAAACCCGGUGAUCUAGCCAUGGGCAGGUUGAAGGUUGGGUAACACUAACUGGAGGACCGAACCGACUAAUGUUGAAAAAUUAGCGGAUGACUUGUGGCUGGGGGUGAAAGGCCAAUCAAACCGGGAGAUAGCUGGUUCUCCCCGAAAGCUAUUUAGGUAGCGCCUCGUGAACUCAUCUUCGGGGGUAGAGCACUGUUUCGGCUAGGGGGUCAUCCCGACUUACCAACCCGAUGCAAACUACGAAUACCGAAGAAUGUUAUCACGGGAGACACACGGCGGGUGCUAACGUCCGUCGUGAAGAGGGAAACAACCCAGACCGCCAGCUAAGGUCCCAAAGUCAUGGUUAAGUGGGAAACGAUGUGGGAAGGCACAGACAGCCAGGAUGUUGGCUUAGAAGCAGCCAUCAUUUAAAGAAAGCGUAAUAGCUCACUGGUCGAGUCGGCCUGCGCGGAAGAUGUAACGGGGCUAAACCAUGCACCGAAGCUGCGGCAGCGACACUAUGUGUUGUUGGGUAGGGGAGCGUUCUGUAAGCCUGCGAAGGUGUGCUGUGAGGCAUGCUGGAGGUAUCAGAAGUGCGAAUGCUGACAUAAGUAACGAUAAAGCGGGUGAAAAGCCCGCUCGCCGGAAGACCAAGGGUUCCUGUCCAACGUUAAUCGGGGCAGGGUGAGUCGACCCCUAAGGCGAGGCCGAAAGGCGUAGUCGAUGGGAAACAGGUUAAUAUUCCUGUACUUGGUGUUACUGCGAAGGGGGGACGGAGAAGGCUAUGUUAGCCGGGCGACGGUUGUCCCGGUUUAAGCAUGUAGGCUGGUUAUCCAGGCAAAUCCGGAUAAUCAAGGCUGAGGUGUGAUGACGAGGCACUACGGUGCUGAAGUAACAAAUGCCCUGCUUCCAGGAAAAGCCUCUAAGCAUCAGGUAACAUCAAAUCGUACCCCAAACCGACACAGGUGGUCAGGUAGAGAAUACCAAGGCGCUUGAGAGAACUCGGGUGAAGGAACUAGGCAAAAUGGUGCCGUAACUUCGGGAGAAGGCACGCUGGUGUGUAGGUGAAGCCCCUGCGGGUGGAGCUGAGACCAGUCGAAGAUACCAGCUGGCUGCAACUGUUUAUUAAAAACACAGCACUGUGCAAACACGAAAGUGGACGUAUACGGUGUGACGCCUGCCCGGUGCCGGAAGGUUAAUUGAUGGGGUUAUCCGUAAGGAGAAGCUCUUGAUCGAAGCCCCGGUAAACGGCGGCCGUAACUAUAACGGUCCUAAGGUAGCGAAAUUCCUUGUCGGGUAAGUUCCGACCUGCACGAAUGGCGUAAUGAUGGCCAGGCUGUCUCCACCCGAGACUCAGUGAAAUUGAACUCGCUGUGAAGAUGCAGUGUACCCGCGGCAAGACGGAAAGACCCCGUGAACCUUUACUAUAGCUUGACACUGAACAUUGAGCCUUGAUGUGUAGGAUAGGUGGGAGGCUUUGAAGCGUGGACGCCAGUCUGCGUGGAGCCAACCUUGAAAUACCACCCUUUAAUGUUUGAUGUUCUAACGUUGGCCCCUGACCGGGGUUGCGGACAGUGUCUGGUGGGUAGUUUGACUGGGGCGGUCUCCUCCCAAAGCGUAACGGAGGAGCACGAAGGUUAGCUAAUCCUGGUCGGACAUCAGGAGGUUAGUGCAAUGGCAUAAGCUAGCUUGACUGCGAGCGUGACGGCGCGAGCAGGUGCGAAAGCAGGUCAUAGUGAUCCGGUGGUUCUGAAUGGAAGGGCCAUCGCUCAACGGAUAAAAGGUACUCCGGGGAUAACAGGCUGAUACCGCCCAAGAGUUCAUAUCGACGGCGGUGUUUGGCACCUCGAUGUCGGCUCAUCACAUCCUGGGGCUGAAGUAGGUCCCAAGGGUAUGGCUGUUCGCCAUUUAAAGUGGUACGCGAGCUGGGUUUAGAACGUCGUGAGACAGUUCGGUCCCUAUCUGCCGUGGGCGCUGGAGAAUUGAGGGGGGCUGCUCCUAGUACGAGAGGACCGGAGUGGACGCAUCACUGGUGUUCGGGUUGUCAUGCCAAUGGCACUGCCCGGUAGCUAAAUGCGGAAGAGAUAAGUGCUGAAAGCAUCUAAGCACGAAACUUGCCCCGAGAUGAGUUCUCCCUGAGACUUUAAGUCUCCUGAAGGAACGUUAAAGACGAUGACGUUGAUAGGCCGGGUGUGUAAGCGCAGCGAUGCGUUGAGCUAACCGGUACUAAUGAACCGUGAGGCUUAACCUU